UACGAAGGGGCUAGCGUUGCUCGGAAUCACUGGGCGUAAAGGGUGCGUAGGCGGGUAUUUAAGUCAGGGGUGAAAUCCUGGAGCUCAACUCCAGAACUGCCUUUGAUACUGAGUAUCUUGAGUACGGGAGAGGUGAGUGGAACUGCGAGUGUAGAGGUGAAAUUCGUAGAUAUUCGCAAGAACACCAGUGGCGAAGGCGGCUCACUGGCCCGUUACUGACGCUGAGGUGCGAAAGCGUGGGGAGCAAACAGG
rnacentral:rRNA from 1 species